CUACGGGUUGCUCCAGUGAGGAAUUUUGCGCAAUGGGGGAAACCCUGACGCAGCAACGCCGCGUGAGUGAAGAAGGCCUUUGGGUCGUAAAGCUCUGUCAACUGGGAAGAAGUUAACCAGAAUUAAUAGUUGUGGUUAUUGACGGUACCAGUGGAGGAAGCGCCGGCUAACUCCGUGCCAGCAGCCGCGGUAACACGGGGGGCGCAAGCGUUAUUCGGAAUUAUUGGGCGUAAAGGGCGCGCAGGCGGUCUUGUCAGCCAGGUGUGAAAGCCCGGGGCUCAACCCUGGAAGUGCACUUGAAACAGCAAGACUUGAGUACGGGAGAGGAGAGAGGAAUUCCUGGUGUAGAGGUGAAAUUCGUAGAUAUCAGGAGGAACACCGAUGGCGAAGGCAUCUCUCUGGACCGAUACUGACGCUGAGGCGCGAAGGCGUGGGUAGCGAACGGGAUUAGAUACCCUAGUAGUC
rnacentral:rRNA from 1 species